GACGAACGCUGGCGGCGUGCUUAACACAUGCAAGUCGAACGGAAAGGCCCCUUUGGGGGUACUCGAGUGGCGAACGGGUGAGUAACACGUGAGUAACCUGCCCUUGACUUCGGGAUAACUUCAGGAAACUGGGGCUAAUACCGGAUAGGAAUCCUUGCUGCAUGGUGGGGGUUGGAAAGCUUCGGCGGUUUUGGAUGGACUCGCGGCUUAUCAGCUUGUUGGUGGGGUAGUGGCUUACCAAGGCUUUGACGGGUAGCCGGCCUGAGAGGGCGACCGGCCACAUUGGGACUGAGAGACGGCCCAGACUCCUACGGGAGGCAGCAGUGGGGAAUAUUGCACAAUGGGCGGAAGCCUGAUGCAGCAACGCCGCGUGCGGGAUGACGGCCUUCGGGUUGGAAACCGCUUUCGGCAGGGGCGAAGCUUGUGGUGACGGUACCUGCAGAAGAAGCACCGGCUAACUACGUG
rnacentral:rRNA from 1 species